CCCCUCCUCCCAUCAGCCUGGCUUUUGGGAUGUGAGUGGUGGGCUCUCCUGGCUGGGCCGGCCCACGAGCGCAUGAACGUCCGAAGCUGUCGAGUGUAGGCUGGGCCGGGGGUUGGACGCUGACAUCUGGUAUCGGAGCCCGGUUUGGCCCAUGCCUGCCUUGGGGGGCUUACCAAGGGGGGUGGGAUGUCAGGGGCCGGUAGUCAGCGCCCCGGCUUUAGUACCACAUCGGCUAGCCAAGGGGGCCGUGAGCAGCUUAUAAGGGAGAGUCCCCCUCCUCCCAUCAGCCUGGCUUUUGGGAUGUGAGUGGUGGGCUCUCCUGGCUGGGCCGGCCCACGAGCGCAUGAACGUCCGAAGCUGUCGAGUGUAGGCUGGGCCGGGGGUUGGACGCUGACAUCUGGUAUCGGAGCCCGGUUUGGCCCAUGCCUGCCUUGGGGGGCUUCCCAAGGGGGGUGGGAUGUCAGGGGCCGGUAGUCAGCGCCCCGGCUUUAGUACCACAUCGGCUAGCCAAGGGGGCCGUGGGCAGCUUAUAAGGGAGAGUCCCCCUCCUCCCAUCAGCCUGGCUUUUGGGAUGUGAGUGGUGGGCUCUCCUGGCUGGGCCGGCCCACGAGCGCAUGAACGUCCGAAGCUGUCGAGUGUGGGCUGGGCCGGGGGUUGGACGCUAACAUCUGGUAUCGGAGCCCGGUUUGGCCCAUGCCUGCCUUGGGGGGCUUCCCAAGGGGGGUGGGAUGUCAGGGGCCGGUAGUCAGCGCCCCGGCUUUAGUACCACAUCGGCUAGCCAAGGGGGCCGUGGGCAGCUUAUAAGGGAGAGUCCCCCUCCUCCCAUCAGCCUGGCUUUUGGGAUGUGAGUGGUGGGCUCUCUUGGCUGGGCCGGCCCACGAGCGCAUGAACGCCCGAAGCUGUCGAGUGUGGGCUAGGCCGGGGGUUGGACGCUGACACAUUUCGUCCGAACACUGGAUUUUAGAUGUGGAAUCUGUAAGUUUUUUGCCCAACUACUUUGUUCAG
rnacentral:lncRNA from 1 species